GAACGCUGGCGGCGUGCUUAACACAUGCAAGUCGAACGAACCUUCGGGUUAGUGGCGGACGGGUGAGUAACGCGUGGGAAUCUGCCCUCAGGAGGGGGAUAACGGUUGGAAACGGCCGCUAAUACCCCAUAUGCCGAGAGGUGAAAUGAAUUUCGCCUGAGGAUGAGCCCGCGUCUGAUUAGCUAGUUGGUGAGGUAAGAGCUCACCAAGGCAUCGAUCAGUAGCUGGUCUGAGAGGAUGAUCAGCCACACUGGGACUGAGACACGGCCCAGACUCCUACGGGAGGCAGCAGUGGGGAAUUUUCCGCAAUGGGCGAAAGCCUGACGGAGCAACGCCGCGUGAGGGAUGAAGGCCUCUGGGCUGUAAACCUCUUUUAUCAAGGAAGAAGAUCUGACGGUACUUGAUGAAUAAG
rnacentral:rRNA from 1 species